UCCGGUUGAUCCUGCCGGAGGUUACUGCUAUCGGUGUUCGCCUAAGCCAUGCGAGUCAUAUGUAGCAAUACAUGGCGUACUGCUCAGUAACACGUGGAUAACCUGCCCUUGGGACCGGCAUAACCCCGAGAAACUGGAGAUAAUUCCGGAUAACGCAUAUGUGCUGGAAUGCUUUAUGCGUAAAAUGGAUUCGUCUGCCCAAGGAUGAGUCUGCGGCCUAUCAGGUAGUAGUGGGUGUAAUGUACUACUAGCCAGCGACGGGUACGGGUUGUGAGAGCAAGAGCCCGGAGAUGGAUUCUGAGACAUGAAUCCAGGCCCUACGGGGCGCAGCAGGCGCGAAAACUUUACAAUGCGGGAAACCGUGAUAAGGGGACACCGAGUGCCAGCAUCAUAUGCUGGCUGUCCAGGUGUGUAAAAUACACCUGUUAGCAAGGGCCGGGCAAGACCGGUGCCAGCCGCCGCGGUAACACCGGCGGCCCGAGUGGUGAUCGUGAUUAUUGGGUCUAAAGGGUCCGUAGCCGGUUUGGUCAGUCCUCCGGGAAAUCUGAUAGCUCAACUAUUAGGCUUUCGGGGGAUACUGCCAGACUUGGAACCGGGAGAGGUAAGAGGUAC
rnacentral:rRNA from 1 species